ACUGGUUCUGCUGUAACGACAGCCAGGUGUCAAUGUCCAAUGAAGCCACUGUGCUGAGGACCAGAGCCCGGAGUGCCUACAUGCUCUUCUAUAUGUUCAGGGCAAGAGAGCGGGAGGCCCCAGCACACAGGGCCUAACAGGGCCACCAGCAUCAGCCCCAGCCUAAACAGGGGCAGCACCUGGACCAGCACUCAGACCUGACUCAACAGGGGUAGUACCAGGCCCAGCCUCAAACCCCCAGCCCAGCCUCAACAGGGGUAGUACCAGGCCCAGUCUCAAAACCCCCAGCCCAGCCUCAACCCUCACACACCUGCCUCGAAAGGGGUAGCAUUUGGCCCAACAUCAACAACCCCGAGCCCAGCCAUAACAGUGGCAGCACUGGGCCCAACAUCAACACACCCAGCCCAGCCUCAACAUGGGAAGAACCAGGCCCAGUCUCAACAUGGGCAGAACAAGACCCAGCCCCAACACCCUCAGACCUGCCUCAACAGGUGCAGCAUUCAGCCCUACUUCAAUCAUGCUGCUCUUCAACACUAGCAUGAACAUUCUUUCAGUAGCUUAUGUCAUCAAUACCUGCCCUUGUCUUGACUACUUCACCUAAUGUAUAAAGUAUACACACUGAAUGUAGUACACAUGUAGAUGUGGUGGACAGAGAGUGUGAUUAUUUAGAGGAUAUAACAUCCCUUCUAUUUGGUUUGGUUUGAAAUCCUCCUGUUGUGAAAUACACUGUGGUGUCUAACCUCUUAUUCAGCAUGGUCACACCGGAUGACCUGCAAUAUUAAUAAAGACAAGCAAAUGUAAGAAAAUCCCAUUUAAGAUGAUUCUGUUGACCGUUGUAACUCUUUAACUCAGGAAGAUUUAUGGUCUGGGAUUCAGGCCGGUCCUAACAGGAAACGUGACAAAGGGAAGCAGCUGUAAUGGAGCCUUCUAACACCCAAUCAGGUCUGGAGGAGGAAUGUCACAUAAAGAUUCAGAGGUGCUAUGAGUAUCUUUUGAAGUUACUCUCCAGUUGUAUUUGAAUAAAUACAGACAUGAAAAUGCUGGGCUACGGAUGUGACCUUGGUUCUGUGAGUAGAGUAACGGGUCACCAAACGACCUAUGGGAACUCCUUCCCUUUAUCGUGAUGUGAUUGAGAUGCUUAAUAUCAACGAUGUUUACAAUGACGCCACACCCUUACUGUACCAUUGUGACCUGUCACUAUUAAAGGCUGUGUGACGUGACACUCUGUCUUUUCUUA